rnacentral:rRNA from 1 species
GACGAACGCUGGCGGCGUGCUUAACACAUGCAAGUCGAACGGAAAGGCCCUUCGGGGUACUCGAGUGGCGAACGGGUGAGUAACACGUGGGUGAUCUGCCCUGCACUUUGGGAUAAGCCUGGGAAACUGGGUCUAAUACCGGAUAGGACCACGGCAUUCAUGUGCUGUGGUGGAAAGCUUUUGCGGUGUGGGAUGGGCCCGCGGCCUAUCAGCUUGUUGGUGGGGUAAUGGCCUACCAAGGCGACGACGGGUAGCCGGCCUGAGAGGGUGACCGGCCACACUGGGACUGCGGUACGGCCCAGACUCCUACGGGAGGCAGCGGUGGGGAAUAUUGCCCAAUGGGCGCAAGCCUGAUGCAGCGACGCCGCGUGAGGGAUGACGGCCUUCGGGUUGUAAACCUCUUUCGCCAGGGACGGAGCGCAAGUGACGGUACCUGGAGAAGAAGGACCGGCCAACUACGUG